rnacentral:rRNA from 1 species
UACGUAGGGGGCGAGCGUUGUCCGGAGUUACUGGGCGUAAAGGGCAUGCAGGCGGUCAGGCGCGUUUUGUGUGACAGCGGAUGGCUUAACUAUCCGAGGAUACGAGAUACGGCGUGACUUGAGAGCGCGAGAGGGACACGGAAUUCCGGGUGGAGUGGUGAAAUGCGUAGAGAUCCGGAGGAACACCGAAGGCGAAGGCAGUGUCCUGGCUGGUGACUGACGCUGAGGUGCGAAAGCUAGGGGAGCGAACGGG